rnacentral:rRNA from 1 species
GAUGAACGCUGGCGGCGUGCCUAAUACAUGCAAGUCGAGCGAACAGACGAGGAGCUUGCUCCUCUGACGUUAGCGGCGGACGGGUGAGUAACACGUGGAUAACCUACCUAUAAGACUGGGAUAACUUCGGGAAACCGGAGCUAAUACCAGAUAAUCUAUUGAACCGUAUGGUUCAAUAGUGAAAGACGGUUUUGCUGUCACUUAUAGAUGGAUCCGCGCCGCAUUAGCUAGUUGGUAAGGUAACGGCUUACCAAGGCAACGAUGCGUAGCCGACCUGAGAGGGUGAUCGGCCACACUGGAACUGAGACACGGUCCAGACUCCUACGGGAGGCAGCAGUAGGGAAUCUUCCGCAAUGGGCGAAAGCGUGACGGAGCAACGCCGCGUGAGUGAUGAAGGUCUUCGGAUCGUAAAACUCUGUUAUUAGGGAAGAACAAAUGUGUAAGUAACUAUGCACGUCUUGACGGUACCUAAUCAGAAAGCCACGGCUAACUACGUG